CUGGGAGGACCAUCUCCUAAGGCUAAAUACUCUCUAGUGACCGAUAGUGAACCAGUACCGUGAGGGAAAGGUGAAAAGCACCCCGGAAGGGGAGUGAAAUAGAACCUGAAACCGUGUGCUUACAAGUAGUCAGAGCCCGUUAAUGGGUGAUGGCGUGCCUUUUGUAGAAUGAACCGGCGAGUUACGAUUUGAUGCAAGGUUAAGCAGUAAAUGUGGAGCCGUAGCGAAAGCGAGUCUGAAUAGGGCGUUUAGUAUUUGGUCGUAGACCCGAAACCAGGUGAUCUACCCUUGGUCAGGUUGAAGUUCAGGUAACACUGAAUGGAGGACCGAACCGACUUACGUUGAAAAGUGAGCGGAUGAACUGAGGGUAGCGGAGAAAUUCCAAUCGAACCUGGAGAUAGCUGGUUCUCUCCGAAAUAGCUUUAGGGCUAGCCUCAAGUGAUGAUUAUUGGAGGUAGAGCACUGUUUGGACGAGGGGCCCCUCUCGGGUUACCGAAUUCAGACAAACUCCGAAUGCCAAUUAAUUUAACUUGGGAGUCAGAACAUGGGUGAUAAGGUCCGUGUUCGAAAGGGAAACAGCCCAGACCACCAGCUAAGGUCCCAAAAUAUAUGUUAAGUGGAAAAGGAUGUGGCGUUGCCCAGACAACUAGGAUGUUGGCUUAGAAGCAGCCAUCAUUUAAAGAGUGCGUAAUAGCUCACUAGUCGAGUGACACUGCGCCGAAAAUGUACCGGGGCUAAACAUAUUACCGAAGCUGUGGAUUGUCCUUUGGACAAUGGUAGGAGAGCGUUCUAAGGGCGUUGAAGCAUGAUCGUAAGGACAUGUGGAGCGCUUAGAAGUGAGAAUGCCGGUGUGAGUAGCGAAAGACGGGUGAGAAUCCCGUCCACCGAUUGACUAAGGUUUCCAGAGGAAGGCUCGUCCGCUCUGGGUUAGUCGGGUCCUAAGCUGAGGCCGACAGGCGUAGGCGAUGGAUAACAGGUUGAUAUUCCUGUACCACCUAUAAUCG
rnacentral:rRNA from 1 species